UAGGGAAUCUUCCACAAUGGACGCAAGUCUGAUGGAGCAACGCCGCGUGAGUGAAGAAGGUUUUCGGAUCGUAAAGCUCUGUUGUUGGUGAAGAAGGAUAGAGGCAGUAACUGGUCUUUAUUUGACGGUAAUCAACCAGAAAGUCACGGCUAACUACGUGCCAGCAGCCGCGGUAAUACGUAGGUGGCAAGCGUUGUCCGGAUUUGUUGGGCGUAAAGCGAGCGCAGGCGGAAUGAUAAGUCUGAUGUGAAAGCCCACGGCUCAACCGUGGAACUGCAUCGGAAACUGUCAUUCUUGAGUGCAGAAGAGGAGAGUGGAAUUCCAUGUGUAGCGGUGGAAUGCGUAGAUAUAUGGAAGAACACCAGUGGCGAAGGCGGCUCUCUGGUCUGCAACUGACGCUGAGGCUCGAAAGCAUGGGUAGCGAACAGG
rnacentral:rRNA from 1 species